ACCGAUGGCGAUGCGGUCCGAUACCUUUAACCGAUUGCAUGUAUUUGAAAGAUAAAGCCAUUAUGCAUCUGCCAGUUACUUGACUACCUUUUCCAAUGGCUGGAAAUGGCAGAAAACAUCUAUUCAGGCUGUGCUUCAUAGCGAUACGAAGGCUAUCAUAAUGCUUAGCAAAAUGUCUGAAAAAGAAGCUCCCCAUUCUUGGUGUCACCAUUGAUUCAACGAUG